UACGAACUGUGCAAACGUUAUUCGGAAUCACUGGGCUUAAAGGGUGCGUAGGCGGCUCGUUAGGUAGGGUGUGAAAGCCCCCGGCUCAACCGGGGAAUUGCGCCCUAAACCGGCGGGCUGGAGUGAGAUAGGGGUGUGUGGAACUUCCGGUGGAGCGGUGAAAUGUGUUGAUAUCGGAAGGAACGCCGGUGGCGAAAGCGACACACUGGGUCUCGAACUGACGCUGAGGCACGAAAGCCAGGGGAGCAAACGGG
rnacentral:rRNA from 1 species